UUGCAGAAUCCCGUGAACCAUCGAGUCUUUGAACGCAAGUUGCGCCCGAAGCCAUCCGGCCAAGGGCACGUCUGCCUGGGCGUCACACACCGUUGCCCCCCCAAAUCCCUCUGACACCAUCCAAUAUGGUGCAUAGGGACCACGAGGGGCGGAUAAUGGCCUCCCGUGGGCCACGGCUCGCGGUUGGUCUAAAUUUGAGUCCUCGGUCACGGUUUGCUGUGGCGAUAGGUGGUUGUCGAUCGUUCGGUGCCCCGCCACGUGCUCCGGACAAAAGCAUCGAGAGACUUGAAAAACUUGACCCCAAUGCGCCCCAUGUAGGUGCUUCCAACGCGACCCCAGGUCAGGCGGGGC
rnacentral:rRNA from 1 species